GACGAACGCUGGCGGCGUGCUUAACACAUGCAAGUCGAACGGAAAGGCCCUGCUUUUGUGGGGUGCUCGAGUGGCGAACGGGUGAGUAACACGUGAGUAACCUGCCCUUGACUUUGGGAUAACUUCAGGAAACUGGGGCUAAUACCGGAUAGGAGCUCCUGCUGCAUGGUGGGGGUUGGAAAGUUUCGGCGGUUGGGGAUGGACUCGCGGCUUAUCAGCUUGUUGGUGGGGUAGUGGCUUACCAAGGCUUUGACGGGUAGCCGGCCUGAGAGGGUGACCGGCCACAUUGGGACUGAGAUACGGCCCAGACUCCUACGGGAGGCAGCAGUGGGGAAUAUUGCACAAUGGGCGGAGGCCUGAUGCAGCAACGCCGCGUGCGGGAUGACGGCCUUCGGGUUGUAAACCGCUUUCGCCUGUGACGAAGCGUGAGUGACGGUAAUGGGUAAAGAAGCACCAGCUAACUACGUG
rnacentral:rRNA from 1 species